ACGGAUAAAAGGUACUCCGGGGAUAACAGGCUGAUACCGCCCAAGAGUUCAUAUCGACGGCGGUGUUUGGCACCUCGAUGUCGGCUCAUCACAUCCUGGGGCUGAAGUAGGUCCCAAGGGUAUGGCUGUUCGCCAUUUAAAGUGGUACGCGAGCUGGGUUUAGAACGUCGUGAGACAGUUCGGUCCCUAUCUGCCGUGGGCGCUGGAGAAUUGAGGGGGGCUGCUCCUAGUACGAGAGGACCGGAGUGGACGCAUCACUGGUGUUCGGGUUGUCAUGCCAAUGGCACUGCCCGGUAGCUAAAUGCGGAAGAGAUAAGUGCUGAAAGCAUCUAAGCACGAAACUUGCCCCGAGAUGAGUUCUCCCUGACUCCUUGAGAGUCCUGAAGGAACGUUGAAGACGACGACGUUGAUAGGCCGGGUGUGUAAGCGCAGCGAUGCGUUGAGCUAACCGGUACUAAUGAACCGUGAGGCUUAACCUUACAACGCCGAAG
rnacentral:rRNA from 1 species